rnacentral:lncRNA from 1 species
GAAAGAAGGGGAAGGAGGUGUCGGUGUUUUAGACCGGCAACCCGCCAAGGGGGUAACCUAAGUGGUCUUUUGUGCGGUAAGGAUCGUUGAGAAUCAAGGAAUCAAUGGUGACGCAAGGAACACGAUUUAGACAGGUUCGGGCCGCUAAAUCACGUAAUACCCUACGUCAUGUAUGUUGGUUUGUAUUGAUCUUGGGUGAACUGGAGUUCUUCGUGUUUGAGGGGGGUCCCUGCCUGCCCUUAUAUACACGGGUAGGCAGAGUUACAAGUCCGAGUCCUAGUCGAGUACAAUUACAGAGUUCUACUCGGUAUGGUCUGAGUAGUUUU